CGCUCGGUAGCUCGCUGGGCUCAUAACCCAGAGGUCGCAGGUUCAAAUCCUGUCCCCGCUA
rnacentral:tRNA from 1 species